rnacentral:rRNA from 1 species
GCUUCUUUUUCCACCGGAGCUUGCUCCACCGGAAAAAGAAGAGUGGCGAACGGGUGAGUAACACGUGGGUAACCUGCCCAUCAGAAGGGGAUAACACUUGGAAACAGGUGCUAAUACCGUAUAACAAUCGAAACCGCAUGGUUUUGAUUUGAAAGGCGCUUUCGGGUGUCGCUGAUGGAUGGACCCGCGGUGCAUUAGCUAGUUGGUGAGGUAACGGCUCACCAAGGCCACGAUGCAUAGCCGACCUGAGAGGGUGAUCGGCCACAUUGGGACUGAGACACGGCCCAAACUCCUACGGGAGGCAGCAGUAGGGAAUCUUCGGCAAUGGACGAAAGUCUGACCGAGCAACGCCGCGUGAGUGAAGAAGGUUUUCGGAUCGUAAAACUCUGUUGUUAGAGAAGAACAAGGAUGAGAGUAACUGUUCAUCCCUUGACGGUAUCUAACCAGAAAGCCACGGCUAACUACGUGCCAGCAGCCGCGGUAAUACGUAGGUGGCAAGCGUUGUCCGGAUUUAUUGGGCGUAAAGCGAGCGCAGGCGGUUUCUUAAGUCUGAUGUGAAAGCCCCCGGCUCAACCGGGGAGGGUCAUUGGAAACUGGGAGACUUGAGUGCAGAAGAGGAGAGUGGAAUUCCAUGUGUAGCGGUGAAAUGCGUAGAUAUAUGGAGGAACACCAGUGGCGAAGGCGGCUCUCUGGUCUGUAACUGACGCUGAGGCUCGAAAGCGUGGGGAGCAAACAGGAUUAGAUACCCUGGUAGUCCACGCCGUAAACGAUGAGUGCUAAGUGUUGGAGGGUUUCCGCCCUUCAGUGCUGCAGCUAACGCAUUAAGCACUCCGCCUGGGGAGUACGACCGCAAGGUUGAAACUCAAAGGAAUUGACGGGGGCCCGCACAAGCGGUGGAGCAUGUGGUUUAAUUCGAAGCAACGCGAAGAACCUUACCAGGUCUUGACAUCCUUUGACCACUCUAGAGAUAGAGCUUCCCCUUCGGGGGCAAAGUGACAGGUGGUGCAUGGUUGUCGUCAGCUCGUGUCGUGAGAUGUUGGGUUAAGUCCCGCAACGAGCGCAACCCUUAUUGUUAGUUGCCAUCAUUCAGUUGGGCACUCUAGCAAGACUGCCGGUGACAAACCGGAGGAAGGUGGGGAUGACGUCAAAUCAUCAUGCCCCUUAUGACCUGGGCUACACACGUGCUACAAUGGGAAGUACAACGAGUCGCGAAGUCGCGAGGCUAAGCUAAUCUCUUAAAGCUUCUCUCAGUUCGGAUUGUAGGCUGCAACUCGCCUACAUGAAGCCGGAAUCGCUAGUAAUCGCGGAUCAGCACGCCGCGGUGAAUACGUUCCCGGGCCUUGUACACACCGCCCGUCACACCACGAGAGUUUGUAACACCCGAAGUCGGUGAGGUAACCUUUUGGAGCCAGCCGCCUAAGGUGAAGAAAAGG